rnacentral:rRNA from 1 species
UACAGAGGGUGCGAGCGUUAAUCGGAAUUACUGGGCGUAAAGCGUGCGUAGGCGGUUGGUUAAGUCUGUCGUGAAAGCCCUGGGCUCAACCUGGGAAUGGCGAUGGAAACUGGCCAGCUAGAGUGUGAUAGAGGAUGGCGGAAUUCCCGGUGUAGCGGUGAAAUGCGUAGAGAUCGGGAGGAACAUCCGUGGCGAAGGCGGCCAUCUGGAUCAACACUGACGCUGAGGCACGAAAGCGUGGGGAGCAAACAGG